UCCUUUUGUUUGUUUAUUUAAGGUCUGACCUGCCCAAUGAGGAAUUGAAUGGCCGCAGUAUUCUAACUGUGCUAAGGUAGCAUAAUCAUUUGUCUUUUAAUUGAGGGCUGGAAUGAAGGGUUGGACGAGGUAUUGACUUUCUUUAAUUUAAUUUUAAGAAUUUAAUUUUUGAGUUAAAAAGCUUAAAUUUAUUUAUGGGACGAGAAGACCCUAUAGAUCUUUAUAGUUUUAUAUUUUGGUAAUUUAGGGAUUUAUUUACUUUAAGUAGAUUAACUAUUUUGUUGGGGUGACUGUAGAAUUUGAAUAACUUCUA
rnacentral:rRNA from 1 species